AACGAACGCUGGCGGCAUGCCUAAUACAUGCAAGUCGAACGAGAUCUUCGGAUCUAGUGGCGCACGGGUGCGUAACGCGUGGGAAUCUACCCUUGGGUUCGGAAUAACGUCGGGAAACUGACGCUAAUACCGGAUGAUGACGUAAGUCCAAAGAUUUAUCGCCCAAGGAUGAGCCCGCGUAGGAUUAGCUAGUUGGUGGGGUAAAGGCCUACCAAGGCGACGAUCCUUAGCUGGUCUGAGAGGAUGAUCAGCCACACUGGGACUGAGACACGGCCCAGACUCCUACGGGAGGCAGCAGUAGGGAAUAUUGGACAAUGGGGGCAACCCUGAUCCAGCAAUGCCGCGUGAGCGAUGAAGGCCUUAGGGUUGUAAAGCUCUUUUACCCGAGAUGAUAAUGACAGUAUCGGGAGAAUAAGCCCCGGCUAACUCCGAGCCAGCCGCCGCGGUAA
rnacentral:rRNA from 1 species